rnacentral:rRNA from 1 species
GACGAACGCUGGCGGCGUGCUUAACACAUGCAAGUCGAACGAAGUGGCGAACGGGUGAGUAACGCGUAAUCAACCUGCCCUUCAGAGGGGGACAACAGUUGGAAACGACUGCUAAUACCGCAUACUGAAGGAGGGGCUUGCGUCUGGUGCGGUAGUUGGCGGGGUAACGGACCACCAAGGCGGUGACCAGUAGCCGGGCUGCGAGGAUGAGCAGCCACAUUGGGAGUGAGACCCGGCUCAGACUGCGACGGGUAGGAGCCGAGGGGAAACUUCCGGAAUUGGCGAAAGUCUGACGGAGCAAAGCCGAGUGAGUGGUGACGGCCUUCGGGUUGGGAAUGUCUGUUAAGCGGGACGCGGUACCGGAAUAAGAAGCCACGGCUAACUACGUGCCAGCAGCCGCGGUAAUAC